CUUCGAUAAAGGCAAACUUGCCGAAAGGCAGGGACGCAAAGCUACGGGUCUAAGGUUCCAAGUACGAACUAUGACCGCCGGGCCGCCGAA
rnacentral:ncRNA from 1 species